rnacentral:rRNA from 1 species
GCCUUGUUACGACUUCUACGGUCGCCGGAUCCUACCGUGGUAAUCGCCACUCCUUGCGGUUGGGCUAUCUUCUGGUAAAACCUCCGCCAGUGUGACAGGCGGUGUGUACAGGCCGGGAACGUAAUGCGACAUGCUGAUCCGCGAUUGCUAACGAUUGAGCUUCCGCGGUCGAGUUGCAGACUGCGAUCCGGACUACGAUCGGGUUUCUAGGAUUGUGACUUCACUCGCAGGUUAGCGACCCCAUCUGUCCCGUCAUUAAUGAUGGCCGAAGCCCCUACCCUGGGGCCCAUGAGGACUUGACAUCAUCCCACCUUCUCGGUUUCAUCACCAACAGUCAUUAGAAGUGCCCUUUAAAGUAGCAACUAAUGUAAUAAGGUUCACGCUCAAUUGCGGGACUUAACCCAACAUCUCCUGACAGGCUGACGACUUAGCUCAUGCAGCACCUGUGUUUCCGGUUCUCUUGAGCCUCCCCGUCUGUGGGAUUCCAGACAUGUCAAAGGUAGGUAAGGUUUUCGCGUUACAUCGAAUUAAUCACAUCAUCCACCGCUUGUGCAUAGGUCCCCGUCAAUUCAUGCGGUUUUAAUCUGCGACCGUACUCCCCAGGCGGUCAGCACCACCCGUUAGCUGCGCUACCGGAAGCCCGAAGAGCCCCAACAGCUAGUUGACAUCGUUUUAGGAGCGUGGACUACCAGAAUUAUCUAAUCCCUGUUGCUCCCCACGCUUUCGUGCAUGAGCGUCAGUGUAUUUAUCCCAGGCUGCCUUCGCCAUCAGUGUUCCUCCGCAUAUCGCAUUUCACUGCUACGCGAAUUCCACACUCACUCGGCACACUCUAGCUCGGUAGUUAAAAAUGCAGUUCAAAGUUAAGCUCUGGAUUUCAUCUUUCUUUCCGAACCACUGCGCUUCCACACUUUGAUAAUUCCGAUUAACGCUUGCGCUACGCCUACCGCAGCUGCUGGCACGUGGUGCCAGUGCUUAUUCUUGAGUACCGUCAGUUACUGGGUAUUAUCCCCAAUGCCGUUUCUUGCCUCCUGCCAAAAUUGGCACACAACCCGAAGGCCUUCAUCGCCUUUUACAGGAUGACUGGAUCAGGGUUUCCCCAUUAUCAAUUCCCCACUACUGCCUCCUGGCCAAGAUCCCUGGGCCCAUCUCGGUCAGUGUGGCUGGUCGUCCUCAAACCAGCUACGGAUCUCGUCUGCCUGGUAAUUACCUAAUAGCUAAUCCCGAUAUCGGCGCAAUAAUGCAGGCCGAAGGUCCCCCGCUUUCCCCCGAAGGGCAAUGCUGCGGUAUUGGCUACACCUUUCGCGCUGAGUUAUCCCCGCUACUAGGCACGUUCCGAUACAUUACUCACCGUUUCGCCUGCCGCGGACCGAAGUCCGUGCUGCCGUUCGACUUGCAUGUGUAAAGCAUCCCGCCAGCGGUCAAUCCUGAGUAUGAUCGA